AGGCUAAUGAACGGCAGAAAAGGAUGGAGUCUUGUUCCAAAAAAGAGAUGUUAACAACAAUGUAGAAGAAUACCGCCCCUAUUGAAGUAAUUCAAGAAGACGAGGUUGGAGAGGCACCUCAAACUACAGGAGAAGAGGUCAUCGAUGAGAAAGACGAGAAAAUACUGCCUUUGGAAACAGAAAUACAAAGGCUGAAUAGUAUUGUUAGAACUUUGAAUAAGUGCAAAAACGCGCAGUUAGCAGAAAUUAAACGCCUGGGGACUUCCAUUAAUCCAAUUACACGCAAUUCCACAGAAAUAAUUUGGAGCAAAAACUUAGCUGCAUUUUCACCAACAGCCAGAUUUAAACAGUUCAAGAGCUCAAAACAUGCGCUACAUCAGCUACCUACCC